GCUGAAGAACUUUGAAAGGAACAGAUCUUGACUGUAAGUCAUGGCCUGGAUUUCUGUUUUGAUCACACUUCUGGCUCACUGUACAGGGGCCAUUUCCCAAGCUGUUGUGACUCAGGAAACUUCACUCAACACAUCUCCUGAAGGGACAGUCACACUCACAUGUGGCUCCAGUACUGGGGCUGUUACCACCAGUAACUAUGCCAACUGGAUCCAAGAAAAUUCUGACCAGGUACACACUGGUCUGAUAUAUUGGACCAGCAACCGAGGCUCAGGUGUUCCUGCCCGAUUCUCAGGCUCGCUGCUUGGAGACAAGGCAGCCCUCACCAUCACAGGAGUAUAUCCUGAGGAUGAGGUUGUGUAUUACUGUGGUCUGUUCUACAGUGACUGAAAGACCCCCGCCUGGCUGUUUAGCUGCUGUAACGCCAUUAUAAGCAAGGCUUGAACCAAACACUGGGGGCUCAUAACAAGGUCUUGGGGCUCAUAACAAAGGCACAGAUGUUAUCGUCAAGUCUGUAUAACAGGAUGCUUGUGGUCUGACACCAAAAGUUAUGCCACUCGCAUGAACAAGAUUAAGGGGGAGGAAUGGAAAAUCCCCAAACUGUCAGACACCUAGCGGAACACUGACAGCUGUCUUAGACAUGACCUCAUGGCCUCAUUAAAAUUGACCUAUGAGACCCCUGUAACUAUGCAUUUGCUUCUGUAUGCUCGCUUCUGCCUGCCCCUUCCAUAUAUAAUCUGCCCCAAAACCCUGCCCGGGGUGCUCAGUUCUCCAGGUGACUGCAGCACCCAUAGGCCCUAUGUGAGCAAUAAAAAAAAUUUGCCUCUUGCUUUUGCAUCCAGUGGCUCGGACUCGGUUCUUGGGCGAGGGUCUCCAUAUGGUUAAGACCCUCAG